rnacentral:rRNA from 1 species
GCGAGGUGGAGCUAAUCUCAUAAAACCGUUCUCAGUUCGGAUUGUAGGCUGCAACUCGCCUACAUGAAGCUGGAAUCGCUAGUAAUCGCGGAUCAGCAUGCCGCGGUGAAUACGUUCCCGGGCCUUGUACACACCGCCCGUCACACCACGAGAGUUUGUAACACCCGAAGUCGGUGGGGU